rnacentral:ncRNA from 1 species
CAAAGGUUUGGUCCUAACUUUACUAUCAACUUUAGCCAAUAUUACACAUGCAAGUCUCCGCGCCCCUGUGCGAAUGCCCUUUCGUUCCCAUACCGGAAACAAGGAGCUGGUAUCAGGCACAACCCCAACAGCCCAUGACACCUUGCUAACGCCACACCCCCAAGGGAACUCUGCAGUGAUCGACAUUAAGCCAUAAGUGAAAACUUGACUUAGACAAGGCUAAGAGGGUUGGUAAAACUCGUGCCAGCCACCGCGGUUAUACGAGUGACCCAAGCUGAUAGUCGUCGGCGUAAAGCGUGGUUAGGGAAAUACCCCAAAUAAAGCCGAACACCCUCAAAGCUGUUGUACGCAUCCGAAAGGUAGAAGAACAAUCACGAAAGUAGCUUUAUCUGACCUGAUUCCACGUAAGCUGGGGUACAAACUGGGAUUAGAUACCCCACUAUGCCCAGCCCUAAACAUAAAUAAUUUUGCACAUCUAUUAUUCGCCCGGGAACUACGAGCAUAAGCUUAAAACCCAAAGGACUUGGCGGUGCUUUAGACCCACCUAGAGGAGCCUGUUCUAUAACCGAUGACCCCCGUUCAACCUUACCCUCUUUAGUUAUUUUCCGCCUAUAUACCGCCGUCUCCAGCUUACCCUGUGAAGGUUCCUAUAAUGAGCACAAUCGGCACAGCCCAGAACGUCAGGUCGAGGUGUAGCGUAUGAGAGGGGCAAGAAAUGGGCUACAUUCUUUUAACAAAAGAACUACGGACGGUGGACUGAAACGUCCACCCAAAGGAGGAUUUAGCAGUAAGCAAGGAAUAGAGCGCCCUGCUGAAAUUGGCCCUGAAGCGCGCACAUACCGCCCGUCACUCUCUCCGAAAAAAAUCAACUGACUUUAUAAGCCGCUAAAACAACAUAAGGGGAGGCAAGUCGUAACAUGGUAAGUGUACCGGAAGGUGCACUUGGAUAAAU